rnacentral:snRNA from 1 species
UUGCUUCCACAGCACGUAUGCUGGAAUUAGAGACAUGCAUAGAUUAGCAUAGCCCCUGCACAAGGAGGACACGCAAAUUUGUGAAGCAAAUUUGU